CAGCGAUUGUAGUUCUUCUCUUUCGCACUAGACUGUCAUCCAAAACAAAAGCGAGCGAAUGGAUGAUGUUAUCUUGUAUUCUUCAAAACAUGGAAACCAUGUCUGCAUGUUUCUUCAGCUGUGAACCUGCGAUCUUCUUGAAACACAAAAGCUGAAAUUGAACGCUGCAUGGGAAAAUCACAAUGGACACUUACACGAUUUCUUAGAAUGACCUUAUGGGUCACCAAAGCAAAAGGAACAAUUCUAAUCGAUACGUAUCGAACAGCAGAGUAAUGAAACGAGUGAUUCAAGCUUAUUGGAGUGAUGGUGGAGUUCCUGGAGUUCAUAAUUGGUUAUGAGGAUGAUGGUGAUUUCACUGUUGUGCUGGUUUCCAGCGAAAGAAGAGACAGACGAAAAUAAAAUUUCAGUGGAUGAGAUGAAUUUGGUGCACAGCGAGAAAAGGGAUGCGGCUAGUGUAUUGAUUGGAAACAACAAUCUGAAGGAAGAUCCAUCAGCAAAACGAACGCAAUAACAUUAAACAGAUAUCAUCGUAGCGUAAUUUUCCUGGAUGUCAUUUUUCAUUAUUUUAGUCAUAUAUUAAGAAAAGUGGAAAUGGAUUAUAUUAUAUUCUGAAU